AUUGAACGCUGGCGGCGGGCCUAACACAUGCAAGUCGAGCGAGCGGCGGACGGGUGUGUAAUGUCGGGGAACCUGCCUUAUGGAGGGGGAUAACUACUGGAAACGGUAGCUAAUACCGCUAACCAUGAGAUGUGCCCAGAUUGGAUGAGCUAGUAGGGGGGGUAAUGGCUCACCUAGGCGACGAUCCCUAGCUGGUCUGAGAGGAUGACCCGCCACACUGGAACGGAGACACGGUCCAGACUUCUACGGUAGGCAGCAGUGGGGAAUCUUGCGCAAUGGGCGGAAGCCUGAUGCAGCCAUGCCGCGUGUGUGAAGCAGGCCUUCGGGUUGUAAAGCACUUUCAGCGGGGAGGCGUUACUCGCAGAAGAAGCACCGGCUAACUCCGUGCCAGCAGCCGCGGUAAUAC
rnacentral:rRNA from 1 species